rnacentral:tRNA from 6 species
GGGACUGUAGCUCAGUCGGUAGAGCAACGGACUGAAAAUCCGUGUGUCGGCGGUUCGAUUCCGCCCGGUCCCA